rnacentral:ncRNA from 1 species
AUGAUAACAUGGGGAGAGACCACAGCUUUCAAGUUUAACUACGUUUACAUGUGGCGCCGAAGGAGCAAGCAACAAGAAGUUGUGAAUCUCUCAGGCAAAAAGACUCUUGUUGGACG